UACAGAGGGUGCAAGCGUUGUUCGGAAUUAUUGGGCGUAAAGGGAGUGUAGGCGGUUUGGUAAGUCUUCUGUGAAAUCUACGGGCUUAGCCUGUAAAGUGCAGAGGAAACUGGCAAGCUUGAGUGUCGGAGAGGAUAGGGGAAUUCCCGGUGUAGAGGUGAAAUUCGUAGAGAUCGGGAGGAACACCAGUGGCGAAGGCGCCUAUCUGGCUGACAACUGACGCUGAGACUCGAAAGCAUGGGGAGCAAACAGG
rnacentral:rRNA from 1 species